rnacentral:lncRNA from 1 species
AACAAUUAUAUGUGUACCGAUUUUUAUUAAUAUAUAUAUAUAUAUUGAUUUUUCUUUAAACUAUUAUUGUAAAUGAAUUUAAGUUUCAAAGUCUAUCUUACACAUUAGCCUAAGUUCGAAACUGUAUAUUUAGUUUUGUGCAAACGACACCUCAUACUAUUUUCUUUAUUUUUAAUUGCUGCAGUUUUCAUCAAUACUUUCACUAUGCACAUACUAUAUAUCAAGAGUACGCAUACAGAACCUGUUUUGAAAAAAUUUCUAUCAUUUUAUAGAGAUCCAUUGGAAUGCAAAAGAAACAUUAUAUGGGUUAUUUUAAUUUGAAUUUCAUCAUUAUUUGUCUUCCUUAUGUACAAUAGACGAUUCUUUUCCAUUUCUUUCUUUAUCAUUUAUAUUGAAGCAAAGAGUAAUUUUCUCUCGAUGCGUGUCAUAUUGGUAUUUUUAAUUUUUUUUUUUUUAUUGUUUUGCAUAAAAUAUAUACAUCCCACAAUUCCAUACAAUGAAUUAUUUAUGCCUUUUUAUUGCAUUCGAAUUUAUAUUUCAGAAAUCUAUUAAUUUGGUCCUAAAUAAAGAAUGUGGGACAACUUUGCUUUUCAAUGGAAAGCACAUAAUACACGAGCCUCAAUUUUUGUAACCUACCAUCUAUUAUAACAUUGGCCUUGAGGAAUGCUGGAGAACAUCAUCACAAUAUGCCAGUAAGCUUGAAGAUACAAGAGCAAAGGUAUCUUAUCUACGCAAUUUAAUUAUUAUAUAAAUAUGUAACCAGAUUCACUAUAAUAAGAUUUAAAUCAUGGUCUUCUUUUUUUCCCCUCUUUCCCCUUUUAAACAUCUGCCUAUAAAUUAAAUUCACAUCAAGUCACAUUUACCCUUGCACGUACCUUGUACCAAGCAAUAUCAGUUGCUUGUCAAUAAAUUUAAUUAUAUAUUAUUAUCGAACUACUAAGUUAUUAAUUAUUACUGUUUUUUUUAUCUAUAUUGGUUUCAAACAAACCAAAUUCUCUUUUUCUUGUAAUUUAUGCAUUACUUAAAUAGGACCGAUUUAUAUCAGUUCUCCAUGUUAACAAUUAGGUACAUUUAUCUAAAAUGGUUUGUAAAUGUAAAUAAAUUAAAAUUGUAAGUAAUUGUAAUAGACACUGAAUCUAGACACAUAAGUUCUGGAAAAUGUCCCGAUCCUGCAGGAUCGCCUAUGGCAGGGUUUGUCUGGGUAUACAUCCAUAGGUAUGCGCAUGUAUCUAUGUAUGACAAGUAUAAGGAAAUUGAUUUAAACCAUUUAUGAGAGAGGCUUUUGAAGCCUCAAUCAUCGGCUCGCAUUCCACGUACUUCUCCUUGAUGUCUUUGCUAAAAAAACAAAAUAAAUUACUAGUAUUUUACAAAUA